GUCUGUUUGGAGUUAUAAGGAGUCUAACCUGCCCACUGAUUAAUAUUAAAGGGCCGCAGUAUUAUAACUGUGCAAAGGUAGCAUAAUCAUUAGGUUCUUAAUUAGAAUCUUGAAUGAAUGGUUGGACAAAGGGAAUACUGUCUUUAUAUUAAUUUUGAAUUUAACUUUUGAGUGAAAAGGCUUAAAUAUUCUAAAGGGACGAUAAGACCCUAUAAAACUUUAUAUUAAGAUUGAAUUUUAGUUAAAUUUAAUUAUAAAAAUUUAAUUUAAUUAUUUAUUAUAUUGGGGAGAUAUAGGUAAAAUUUUUGUUAACUGCUUAUUGAUUAGACAUUUACGGAUGGGUAGUAAUAGAUCCUUGUUAAAGAUUAUUGAAUUAAGUUACUUUAGGGAUAACAGCGUUAUUUUUUUUGAGAGUUCAUAUCGAAAAAAAAGGUUGCGACCUCGAUGUUGAAUUAAAAUAUCUAUAUAAUGAAGCGGUUGUAUAGGAAGGUCUGUUCGACCUUUAAAAUUUUACAUGAUUUGAGUUCAAACCGGCGUGA
rnacentral:rRNA from 1 species